rnacentral:rRNA from 1 species
GACAGAGGGUGCAAACGUUGUUCGGAAUUACUGGGCGUAAAGCGCGUGUAGGCGGCUUGGCAAGUCGGGUGUGAAAGCCCUGGCUCAACCUAGGAAGUGCACUCGAAACUGCCUCGCUUGAAUGCCGGAGAGGAAAGCGGAAUUCUCGGUGUAGAGGUGAAAUUCGUAGAUAUCGAGAGGAACACCGGUGGCGAAGGCGGCUUUCUGGACGGUGAUUGACGUCUGAGACGCGAAAGCGUGGGGAGCAAACGGG